AAAGGUGGAGGUGCGGUAACCU
rnacentral:miRNA from 1 species